rnacentral:rRNA from 1 species
UACGGAGGGUGCAAGCGUUAUCCGGAUUUACUGGGUUUAAAGGGUGCGUAGGCGGGCAGGUAAGUCCGUGGUGAAAUCUCUGAGCUUAACUCAGAAACUGCCAUGGAUACUAUUUGUCUUGAAUAUUGUGGAGGCAAGCGGAAUAUGUCAUGUAGCGGUGAAAUGCUUAGAUAUGACAUAGAACACCCAUUGCGAAGGCAGCUUGCUGGGACGUUACUGACACUGAGGCGCGAAAGCGUGGGGAGCGAACAGG